AAUCUACCUUUUCGUGGGGGAUAACGUAGGGAAACUUACGCUAAUACCGCAUACGACCUACGGGUGAAAGUGGGGGACCGCAAGGCCUCACGCGAUUAGAUGAGCCGAUGUCCGAUUAGCUAGUUGGCGGGGUAAUGGCCCACCAAGGCGACGAUCGGUAGCUGGUCUGAGAGGAUGAUCAGCCACACUGGAACUGAGACACGGUCCAGACUCCUACGGGAGGCAGCAGUGGGGAAUAUUGGACAAUGGGCGCAAGCCUGAUCCAGCCAUACCGCGUGGGUGAAGAAGGCCUUCGGGUUGUAAAGCCCUUUUGUUGGGAAAGAAAUCCUAUCGGUUAAUAACCGGUGGGGAUGACGGUACCCAAAGAAUAAGCACCGGCUAACUUCGUGCCAGCAGCCGCGGUAAUACGAAGGGUGCAAGCGUUACUCGGAAUUACUGGGCGUAAAGCGUGCGUAGGUGGUGGUUUAAGUCUGCUGUG
rnacentral:rRNA from 1 species